rnacentral:rRNA from 1 species
UCUCAGCUAUAGCCACAUUGCCUCAUACUGAUCUCGUUAGCUCUCACAAGAUAAGCAGUACUGGGCUUGGCAGUACUUGGAGGGGAGAUCUCCAGGGGAUAUUCAGGGUACUUGAAGA